GAAGGAUCAUUAUCGAGCUAAGACUUAAAGUCUCCGAACGCGCGUGCUUCCAUGUGCGCGUAUACGUGAGCCGCGCAGCAAGUCGCACACAUGUGGUGGUGGUGGCCGUCAGCCGUGCUUUUUUGGCAGACAAUGGUCUGUGGCUUGCUGUGUGUUGAGGGGGCAUAGGUGACAUACUGGGCUAGUUAGAAAGGUAUGUCGCUAGCGCCUAUGCUCUCGUUAUUCGUAAAAACGGUAUCCACUUUGGUGUCUACGCUUCACCUAGCUAUUGCCUGGACCGUCGGUAGCUAUGAAAGGUGGGGAGGAAGCUCCCCGUCUCUUUUCGGAGAGGCGGGUCGAGUAGACUUAAUGAGCCUCAGCGAGGAGGCCACCGAAACCCAAACACAACCAGUCUUAUGUUUGAAAGUGUUGUGAGAGUGCGCGUCGACCUUUGAUCAUGUAUCAAGGGUUGUUGCUGUGCUUUCCAAAUCUAGUUAUAAAUCUUAGCGGUGGAUCACUCGGUUCGUGGAUCGAUGAAGAACGCAGCUAGCUGCGAUAAAUAGUGCGAAUUGCAGACACAUUGAGCACUAAGAAUUCGAACGCACAUUGCGCCAUCGGGUUCAUUCCCGUUGGCACGUCUGGCUGAGGGUCGAAUUAUUUCGACAAAGAUCCGUGUGUAGGGUUGCCUUGUGUGCACUGCAUAUGAGGUGGUGCCCAUGCAUGGUGUAUUCGGUGAGCUAUGGGGGGAGUGAUGUUGCGCUUGCGCAUCAUCAUAACCCCCUCAUACCUUACUUAGGCUAUGUAUUUCAACUCGCAAUCAUUUGCUCCAUGCGAGGAGGCGAUGAUGGCCGUCGAUGGUGUGUUGCUCUUUCUUGUCCAAGAUACGGCUCCGAGCACGUGUUUGCCGAUUUGGCUAUCGGUUCGGAUCGCUAGUAUCGUCGAAUGGAUGAGAUGGGGUGAUGUGCUGCUGGUGGUGGCUGUCACUUUGUUUUGACCUCAGCUCAGUCGUGACUACCCGCUGAAUUUAAGCAUAUAACUA
rnacentral:rRNA from 1 species